rnacentral:rRNA from 1 species
GACGUAGGGCGCGAGCGUUGUCCGGAUUUAUUGGGCGUAAAGAGCUCGUAGGCGGUUCGAUAAGUCGGAUGUGAAAUCUCCACGCUCAACGUGGAGGGUGCAUUCGAUACUGUCGUGCUUGAGGACUGGAGAGGAGACUGGAAUUCAUGGUGUAGCAGUGAAAUGCGUAGAGAUCAUGAGGAAGACCAGUGGCGAAAGGCGGGUCUCUGGACAGUUCCUGACACUGAGACACGAAGGCCAGGGGAGCAAACGGG